rnacentral:rRNA from 1 species
GGAAACCGAUGCUAAUACCGGAUGAGCCGAGAGGUAAAACAUUUAUGGCCUAGGGAUGAACUCGCGUCUGAUUAGCUAGUUGGUGGGGUAAGAGCUUACCAAGGCGACGAUCAGUAGCUGGUCUGAGAGGAUGAUCAGCCACACUGGGACUGAGACACGGCCCAGACUCCUACGGGAGGCAGCAGUGGGGAAUUUUCCGCAAUGGGGGCAACCCUGACGGAGCAACGCCGCGUGCGGGAGGACGGUUUGUGGACUGUAAACCGCUUUUAAUAGGGAAGAAUAACUGACGGUACCUAUUGAAUAAGCAUCGGCUAACUCCGUGCCAGCAGCCGCGGUAAUACGGAGGAUGCAAGCGUUAUCCGGAAUUAUUGGGCGUAAAGGGUCCGCAGGUGGCCCAUCAAGUCAGCUGUUAAAGGUCGGGGCUUAACCCCGGAUGAGCAGUUGAAACUGGUGAGCUAGAGUACGGUAGGGGCAGAGGGAAUUCCUAGUGUAGCGGUGAAAUGCGUAGAUAUUAGGAAGAACACCAGUGGCGAAGGCGCUCUGCUGGGCCUGUACUGACACUGAGGGACGAAAGCUAGGGGAGCGAAAGGGAUUAGAUACCC